rnacentral:rRNA from 1 species
CAGCACCUCAAGUGGUCAGGAUGAUUAUUGGGCCUAAAGCGUCCGUAGCCGGCGCUGUAAGUUUUCGGUUAAAUCUGUACGCUCAACGUACAGGCUGCCGGGAAUACUGCAGCGCUAGGGAGUGGGAGAGGUAGACGGUACUCGGUAGGAAGGGGUAGAAUCCUUUGAUCUAUUGAUGACCACCUGUGGCGAAGGCGGUCUACCAGAACACGUCCGACGGUGAGGGAUGAAAGCUGGGGGAGCAAACCGGAUUAGAUACCCGAGUAGUCC